rnacentral:lncRNA from 1 species
GAAAGUAUUUCUUCCUGGAGGGUGUGUAACGUGAUCAUCUGCUGAACAAUGUUGCUGGGAGUUUGCGUCAACACUGGAGGCCUGUUUUCAGCUCCGUGCCGCCUAACACUGAUGCAGUUCUCCACAGUGACACCUUGGACCUGCCCAGAACAACCACAGCCUUCAAGGUCACCUCCGCACGAGCUGCUGUCAUCCCUCCCAUCCCUCAGCUCCCAGUCGGGAAGAUUUUCAGACAUCCGCAAGACAACGACAUUUUAAAAUGUAUUCCGAUCAAUGCAAAAGUGACCAAACUUCUCCAGGCUUGUGUUGUGAAGGACACAAG